CAAGUAAUACUUUUCCUCUCGCGUCACGCGACUUCUCCCUUCUCCUCGAUUCUGGCCCGGCGGCGCAUCAUCGCGUCCCCACCCCGUACCUCCUCUUCUCCCCUUUUCCCACGGCCAGUCCUCGUCGUCGGAUCCCUGCCGGAAGAGGAGGGGAGAGAAUGGUGGGCUCAGUCUCUGCGGCCGUCGUCCUGGUGAUGAAGGGGACCAUGUCCUUGCGGCGCCGAUGCAGUGGGGCGGGUUCCCAACGAUGAGAUGACGUGGUGCGAAGGGGGUGGCACGACGGCGGUGGGGAAGCAAUGGCGGCAGCGGUGAUGCAGGUAGGCGGGUUGCUGGUGGCGGGGAUUCAGGGAGGCGGCUGGGUGGUGAAACCCUAGCAGGGAGGCAUGGUUGGCUCGUCCGGUCGUCCCUAAGCAUCGGUGGUUGCCUCCCGCGCGGCUGCCAAACAAUCCAGGAUGGUUUCCUUCGCCGCCACUUUCAGGGAGGAAGAGAGAGUGUGUGCUUUGCUCCCUCGUUUUUUUGAUGCAUAUUUCUCUAUUCUUGUUUCUCAUCCGUGCGCAGGUGGAUCGGAUGCUGCGCGUGGUCGUCUCGGUUGGGGCUUCACAUGCAAGGUGCACCUGGUCGGCAACAUCCUUUAUGGUGGUUGGUCACAGAUUUGAUGUCAUUGACGGUAUAGCUUUUACAUAUUUGGGGAUAGGUUGCUUCUGUAAACAUGAUGGUUUGAUUUCUGCAUCAUCACUUGACCUCCUGCAUAUUGGAUUUAAUGGAUAAACUUAUAAAUGUUGGAUUUCCGCAGACAUUAGUUGAGGUUAGAUAACCUCCAUUUCAUCUUAUACUCCCUAUUUGAAAAUCUUCGUUUUACUUACGAUUACCACGUAUCUAAUUUUUAGUUGUUGAUCCAUAUUUUGGUAGUUGAGACCAAUUCAUCAAACCCUCAGAGUAAGAAGUUAAGACAUACUCUUUGUGUAUUUAAUAUAAUUCCCGAAAAUAAUCAUGUGCUAUCAAAAUGCACUAUCCACCGGAUUCUAUGUUAUUUUUCUCUAUCCAGAUUUGAUCACUCAUAUGCAUACAAGGGCACCUCAUACAAAGAAAGUUAAUUAUUUUUUCUAUCUCGUUGUGUGAGGGACAAAGUUAAUUAGUUUUACUGUUAAAUAGUAGCUCGCGCUGCCUCUUGUUAUGACGUGGUGUUGUAGGUCAGAAGAGUAAUUAGGUAGGUUUAAGCUAAGUUCAGGGUGAACAAUAUAUAAAUUUCAGGUUUACAGAUUACAACUAUAGUUUGAAGUCUACGCAGUUGUGGAGAGAUGGGGCAAGAAAAAAGUGCAGAUCAGUCUAAACUUAUAGGAAUGUUGAUGCCCGUCUGUCACAAAAAAGAGAUGAGUGAUAUCAAGUAGGGCCAUUUGUUUUUGUCCUAAUUUUCAUUUGUAACCUUAUAUAUAAUAUUGAGGCAUAUUAAUUUGUAUAAUAAAUUUUCAAGAUGCAUCCCGAAAUAUUAGACACAAGGUGUGGUUGAAUGUUUGCUAUAUUUAGAUUCUUAUAACCUUUCCGUCAAACUUUUUUAAGGUGUGCACAUUUAUAGGAUCAUUUCUGAUGGCAUUACAACAGCUGUCGUGUCCGCAUCGCUGAUGGCACAAACGGCUGUGACAUCCAUAUUUUCGACAGGUCAGCAUUGGCGCGACAUCUAGGACUUGGAGAUUGCUGACACGGAGGAAUAGAUCAGAUUUAUGAAGACUUAAGAGACUUUGGUAUCUAUCAAAGUGACAUGAUGUGGUUGCUUCUCGCUAUGUUUGAGGACAGACAACAGUUUCGUGCAUGCAGUGAAUUUCCCAGUUUUCGCAUGUAGCAAGUAGAAGCAUGGGCUGACCUUGAUAAAGUGAGAUUGUUUACCACUGCAGAAGGUGGUUUAUAUUCCUAAUUCAGGAUUUGUGCCAUUGCCAUUGUUCUGCUAGCUUCUUUAAUCUAUCACUAUGAAAGAUAUGGCUUCCCUCCAUAAUCAGAUGGUUUUCAUACUGAUUUACUUUCUUUCGGUUAUGGCUCUGAUACUUGAGCCGUUUCGCCGCCGGUCAUCACUGCUGCCGCGCUAUUGAAGUUAUCGGAAAGUACUUGUUGAGGCUAGCAAACAUGCAUUGAUUGUGUGUUAUCAUACAAUUGUAAGUUCAAUUUUCAGAGGCAAUCUCAUAAGUAAGAAGGUUGUACUGAGCUGUUUGUGUUUCUGUAGUAGGGGAAUGCAUCCAAUAUUUGUAUUAGACUGGUCAGAUACAUCAGCCUCAGAUCAAGGUAAUAUAACUUCUCAGUGUUUUUACGUGAAAAAUGCUGCUUCUCGCCUGAUUUAGAUCCGCUGUUAUAAUUCUUAUCUAUGUUUGGAUGCCCUAUUUGGAGUGAUUAUGAUGGGGCAUGUGAGGGUUUGGACAAAAUCCCUCGGUAACAAAGGAAUAUGAAUCAUGGAUAAUAAAGACAGCUGCACUUUUGGUACUCUUUCCUUCUUUGUUUUGGUACAAAGACGGGCAAAACUGCCUUUAUGAAUGUUAAGACCUUACCAAUUUUGAGCAAAAGCACAACCAAAUUGGCAAGUGACACAUGCCCAUGUUCAGGCUUACCUACAAAUUGGUACCUCUAAGUUAAUAGCUUGUGCAGAUAAUAUGUUACUACAUCGAUUCACACUCUUCGAGUCACAUGGAAAGAGACAUGCAACAUAUUAUUUUAAUCUACAUUCUGCUUUUCUAUUUUUACACUAGAAUAUUCAUAGUGCUAAGCCAAGUUCAUGAGUUAUAAUAUCAGGUUCUUGCCACAAUCUGUGAGGAGCUUUCUGAAGAUAGUAUUUUGCUCAUAUGUAUAUUAGUAUUAUGUUUCUUUUUUAUCUGGCACCUUAUUUAUGCUGCACUCUUCUUUUGAUCAUUUUUCUCCCCUAAUUUACACCAUUACACUUCCAUGAUUUGCUGAGCAGAGUGCUUUUCACAGCGGACUCGCAACUAAACAAUGACUUCUGGCGACUGUACAACAAAUUUUGUUGACUAAUGCUGAGUUGCAGGGCUGGUGACUCAGUUUUGAGCCGUGACUCAAAUACCUUGUUCAAAUGUAUGCAUCUAGCCCCUCAUCAAGUGCAAGACCCGCUUCUGCUUUCUCCAUAGAUAAGCCUUAUUCACAUAUGGGUUCAGAUCGUUAUCUAGGGCUUGUUCCUUCCAUUUGGUCAUUAUCUCUGUGACUCUGUCCAUGUUUUUGAUGUUGGUUUCAGAGCUGUCAUAAAAGUUCACUCUGUAAAUAUAGUUGUCCAUAUGAUGGUUGGAUGAUUAUAAUUCACUAUUUGAUAGUUAGAUGGUGUUGCAAUAACUCUAGCCAAAGAAUGGUCUGGCUGGCAUGCAACUAUUUUUUUUUUUGCAUCCACAUUCCCACCAUAGAUGUGAAUUAUGCAAAUGCUCAUGUUGAAAUGGUGAUGUGUAAUACACUAUUGAAUUGUAUUGAAGUAAACCUUUUUUUAUCUGCAAAACAAAAUCCACAAGGAGCAGGCUCACACAGCCACUUUCAUGUA